rnacentral:rRNA from 1 species
GAUGAACGCUGGCUACAGGCUUAACACAUGCAAGUCGUGGGGAAACGGCAUUAUGUGCUUGCACAUUCUGGACGUCGACCGGCGCACGGGUGAGUAUCGCGUAUCCAACCUGCCCCUUACUCGGGGAUACCCCGUUGAAAGACGGCCUAAUACCCGAUGUGUUUCAUUGACGGCAUCCGAUAUGAAACAAAGGUUUUCCGGUAAGGGAUGGGGAUGCGUCUGAUUAGCUUGUUGGCGGGGCAACGGCCCACCAAGGCGACGAUCAGUAGGGGUUCUGAGAGGAAGGUCCCCCACAUUGGAACUGAGACACGGUCCAAACUCCUACGGGAGGCAGCAGUGAGGAAUAUUGGUCAAUGGACGCAAGUCUGAACCAGCCAAGUAGCGUGCAGGAUGACGGCCCUAUGGGUUGUAAACUGCUUUUAUGUGGGAAUAAAGUGGCGCACGUGUGCGCCAUUGCAUGUACCUCAUGAAUAAGGACCGGCUAAUUCCGUGCCAGCAGCCGCGGUAAUACGGAAGGUCCGGGCGUUAUCCGGAUUUAUUGGGUUUAAAGGGAGUGUAGGCGGUCUGUUAAGCGUGUUGUGAAAUUUAGGUGCUCAACAUUUAACUUGCAGCGCGAACUGUCAGACUUGAGUACACGCAGCGCAGGCGGAAUUCAUGGUGUAGCGGUGAAAUGCUUAGAUAUCAUGAGGAACUCCGAUCGCGAAGGCAGCCUGCGGGAGUGUUACUGACGCUUAAGCUCGAAGGUGCGGGUAUCGAACAGG